rnacentral:rRNA from 1 species
AUUGAACGCUGGCGGCAGGCCUAACACAUGCAAGUCGAGCGAGCGGCGGACGGGUGAGUAAUGUCUGGGAAACUGCCUGAUGGAGGGGGAUAACUACUGGAAACGGUAGCUAAUACCGCAUACCCUCUGGUGUGCCCAGAUGGGAGUAGCUAGAAGGUGGGGUAAUGGGUCACCUAGGCGACGAUCCCUAGCUGGUCUGAGAGGAUGACCAGCCACACUGGAACUGAGAAACGGUCCAGACUCCAACGGGAGGCAGCAGUGGGGAAUAUUGCACAAUGGGAGCAAGCCGGAUGCAGCCAUGCCGCGUGUGUGAAGAAGGCCUUCGGGUUGUAAAGCACUUUAAGCGGGGAGGCGUUACCCGCAGAAGAAGCACCGGCUAACUCCGUGCCAGCAGCCGCGGUAAUUC